CUCAGAACAUAUACACUAUAUUAUACAAGUACUUAAAUAGAGCAAACAGCAGGUUGCAAGUACACUUCAAAUCUGAAUAUUACAUAAGCAUCUCAAGGAACAAAUUAAUUGUUCAGAACAGUACACAAGGUUCACCUAGCAGUUUUCAGAAAUUUGCAAGAAGAGAAGAGAGAAGCAGCAACAGUUUGGGUUCAGAGAAGAACUAGGAGCAGCAGCUAGAGGCGAGGGAAGAAGAGAAAUAGUAGCAGCAAGGGUAAGAAGGAAUAGCAGCGUGGUGAGGGGAGACGGCUUCAGCAAGAGGUGCAGCAGGGGCACAUAGGAAGAAGAAGCAGCAGUAGGUCGCGUGGAAGAAGAGAAGGCAGCAGCAGGAGGUGGAGAGGAAGAAGGAGGGGGCGCGAGGCGGCGCUGGUGGAGGCGUGUGGAUGAUGGAUGGUGGUGCUGGUGGUGCGUGGUGGAGUGGUGGCAGAAGGCGAUGGUGUGGCUGGUGAAUGGAUGGCGUGCCGCUACGCCGGCCUGGCCGCGACGGCGGCCGGAGGUGGAGAAGGAGUUGGGGCAGAGGGGAGAUGGAGAUACCAGGCCUGGCGGGGAUCGGCUGCCGCUAGGGAUUUUCACCCCUCCUCAGAUCUUCCACUUUGCAAUUUUGGCCCUUCUCCUCUUCUUCUUUCUUCACAAGGUCCCUUUCUUCUUUAACUUGUCCCCUGGAGCGUCAUUUCUUCACACACAAGUCCCUCUGUCUUUCUUCUUUCUUUUCACUUGACUGGUUCUCUUAGCCACUAGUCCGGAUCUUGAAGUUUAUAGUGCCUUUGCGCACUUUUGUGCAAAAGAAACACAAUGACUAGUAAAUGAUUCAUUAUAUGAUUUUCAUGCAAAUAUUCAACUAAACUUAGCAAGAAUAGAUGGGCAUAACUCAACGAAUGGUAUAAUCCAAUGCCAAAAUUAUGUAUAUGAAAUGUGCUUAUCAAGUUCCCCCACACUUAAACUUUUGCUUGUCCUCAAGCAAAGGCAUAUGACAAGAGCAAGAUUGUGAAUAGUGAGCUGAGUAGAGAAUGCCAAGUGAAGUAGAUCUCUAAACAAUGCAUGCUUUGAACUCAGCUAGUGAAAAUUAAUGGUUAGGAGUGCUACAAAGCAAUAGGAUACUAGUAGACUCAAUCAUUUUAAAUUUUUACAAUGAUAAAAAUGGAUCAACAAAUUCAAAUGUUGAUUGUGCGAAAAGGUUCCUAAAGAGAGCAUGAUCCAAAAAAACAAAAAGAACUUAAACUUGUGAUCAGAUCACUACUAGGAACAUUGUGGUUGAACCACUUAUUGAAUUUGAAGGAAGCAAUGAUAAUAUUUUAUCGGUCUCACCAAAGGAACAUACCACCGAUCCCGAAAACAUGGUAUACACCUGGCUCGACCAAUUUUUAGUUUUUUUUGUUUGUCUCCCCAAAGGAACAUACCACCGAUCCCGAGAACAUGGUAUACACCUGGUUCGACAAUUAUAGCAUUUUUUAACAUAAUUAACUCCUAUCCGAUCCAACCAGAUUUCACAAGCCACCGAUCCAGGGAACAUGACAUGCUACUAUUAGGUAAGAUCAGAUAAAU
rnacentral:rRNA from 1 species